AACACUGAAAUAAUGUUGAAUAGUUAUCCCCAACCCACGGCCCGCGGGUCGCAUGCGGCCCGCCGGGACUUUAUUUGUGGCCCGCGUGAUGUUAAACUAUUUUGAAAUUCACGCCCACCGGCAAAAAAAUGUAGACAUCGUGAAAGUCCUGAAUUUUUUUUCACUUUUAAAUCGUUAAUUUUUAAACCUAAAAAUUUUUGUUGCGGGUCGCGACACCAAGAACAAAACAUGUUUGUGGCCCGCAAGAAAAAAAGGUUGGAGACCACUGGUAUAGUGUAUAGUGUACAACUGUACAUACAU